rnacentral:rRNA from 1 species
GUGGGGAAUAUUGGACAAUGGGCGAAAGCCUGAUCCAGCAAUGCCGCGUGAGUGAUGAAGGCCCUAGGGUUGUAAAGCUCUUUUACCCGGGAUGAUAAUGACAGUACCGGGAGAAUAAGCUCCGGCUAACUUCGUGCCAGCAGCCGCGGUAAUACGAGGGGAGCUAGCGUUGUUCGGAAUUACUGGGCGUAAAGCGCGCGUAGGCGGUUUUUUAAGUCAGAGGUGAAAGCCCGGGGCUCAACCCCGGAAUAGCCUUUGAAACUGGAAAACUAGAAUCUUGGAUAGGUCAGUGGAAUUCCGAGUGUAGAGGUGAAAUUCGUAGAUAUUCGGAAGAACACCAGUGGCGAAGGCGACUGACUGGACAAGUAUUGACGCUGAGGUGCGAAAGCGUGGGGAGCAAACAGGAUUAGAUACCCUUGUAGUCC